CCAAAACGACCGUCCCACGUUCGGAUUGCAGGCUGAAACCCGCCUGUAUGAAGUUGGAAUCGCUAGUAAUCGCGGAUCAGCAUGCCGCGGUGAAUACGUUCCCGGGCCUUGUACACACCGCCCGUCACACCAUGAGAGUCGGGAACACCCGAAGUCCGUAGCCUAACCGCAAGGAGGGCGCGGCCGAAGGUGGGUUCGAUAAUUGGGGUGAAGUCGUAACAAGGUAAC
rnacentral:rRNA from 1 species